AGAUGAGUCUUCCCUGGCACUUUAAGUGUCCUGAAGGGUUGUUCGAGACUAGAACGUUGAUAGGCAGGGUGUGUAAGCGUUGUGAGGCGUUGAGCUAACCUGUACUAAUUGCCCGUGAGGCUUAACCAUACAACACCCAAGGGGUUU
rnacentral:rRNA from 1 species